UAUUAGGUUGGUGCAAAAAUAGUCGCAGUUUUUGCCAUUGCUUUUACUUACCUUUAAUGGCAAAAACCACAAUUACUUUUGCACCAACCUAACAGUUGAU
rnacentral:miRNA from 1 species